rfam:Eutrema salsugineum unplaced genomic scaffold scaffold_11, whole genome shotgun sequence.
UUUCCGUGGUGUGGACAAUCUCUUUAGUAUUCUCUAAAUCUAUCCUAAGCAUCUAAAAUAUCUUCAUCUUCUUUUUGUUCAAAAGUUCUUAUCUUUUCCUUAAGAGA